UACGGAGGGUGCAAGCGUUAAUCGGAAUUACUGGGCGUAAAGCGCGCGUAGGUGGUUAGGUAAGCCAGAUGUGAAAGCCCCGGGCUUAACCUGGGAACGGCAUUUCGAACUGUCUGGCUAGAGUGUGGUAGAGGGUAGUGGAAUUUCCUGUGUAGCGGUGAAAUGCGUAGAUAUAGGAAGGAACACCAGUGGCGAAGGCGGCUACCUGGACCAACACUGACACUGAGGUGCGAAAGCGUGGGGAGCAAACAGG
rnacentral:rRNA from 1 species